rnacentral:rRNA from 1 species
AUACCGAAAGGUAUGCUAAUACGAGAUGAUGUGCUUUUAUCGCAUGGUAGAAGUAUCAAAGCUCCGGCGGUACAGGAUGGACCCGCGUCUGAUUAGCUAGUUGGUGAGGUAACGGCUCACCAAGGCGACGAUCAGUAGCCGACCUGAGAGGGUGAUCGGCCACAUUGGAACUGAGACACGGUCCAAACUCCUACGGGAGGCAGCAGUGGGGAAUAUUGCACAAGGGGCGAAAGCCUGAUGCAGCAACGCCGCGUG